AUGAACACUAAAACUGGAAUUUUAUAUAAUUUUCAAGUGCCAUUGAAAUAUUCUUCUUUAUGGUUUUUUUUUUUUCAAUCAUUAAAACAUCUAAAAAACCAUUCUUGGCUCAUGGCCCAUCCAAGAACAGGUGGUAGGCUGAAUUUGGCCACGGGCCACGGUUUGCCAACUCCUGCCCUUGAGCACCCAGUGCUUGUGUGGUGGUUUGGAGCCAGCAUCUGCUCCUUUGGAAGGUACUUUUUCUCCUGCUUUCAGGAGGAGACUGAAACUUGGGUGAGCAAACGACCUAACCUCAGACAACCAGCUACCAAGUGGAAGAAGCAGGAUUUGAACUGGCCCCGAAGUCCACCUAGGAUGGACCAGAGACACAUACUCAGCAUGUAAGUAAUGAGUGAAUGUACCGACCAGCAACUUGUCUCCUGGGUCAUCUCAUCUCUAUUCAAUCCUUCUUCCCAGGGAAGACUUAACUUACCGUCUGGGGGGGUGGGGGGUGGCAUGCGGUGGCACAGGGUGGGGGCCAUUAUCAAGAGUUCUGGGAAGAAGGGUCCCGCCGCUGGCCCUCCAAAGGAUCUGGCCAAUGUCUCCCAGACCAGGGUGCCCUCAUCUCGGUCUCACAAGGGUCCCUCACACAGUCAGGGAGUCUCAAGAGCCUUUCCAGUUCAAAGCCAAACCUCGCACUCUCCUUACGCCCCCUCCCUACCCUCUGCUGCAGACAGAAGCUGGGAGGUUCCAGGUCUCCCUGCAGACAGCCGGCUUGGCUGAGAGGCACCUGCAGCUUUCCCUCCUCCCAACCUGCUGCUGUGCCACCGGGCAGCUGCUACCAGGCCCAGCUACAGCUCGGUAGCCACCCUGGGGCCCCACCCCCUCUGUGUGUGUGUGCGCGCGCACGUGCAUGGACCUGCAGCCGUGGUGGCCUAACCUUGGUCUGUUCCCGCCCCCUGGAGAUGGGAAAGUGCCCACUCAGCAGCUGAUGCCUGCAGCGUGAAGGCAAAGGGUCCAGAGUGGGUUGAGAAGGGGUCACAGCGGGACACAGGGCCAGGGAAGAGAAAUGUGACCUGUUCCCAAAGAGCUGAAGCUAAUCAGGUGCCUCGGGGACGAGAGAGCGCAGAACAGGGACUGCAAUUCAGAGGGUCCUCUGGCUCUGGGGGAGGGAGGCCUGCUUGAGGCCCCUUGGAGCAGGAGGCUGGUGAUCUCCAGCCCCCGGUGCCCGCCUUAGUCACGCUCUGGAAACUAGAGGACAGAGCCCACCACGGCACGAUGGCAUGAUUCCUGGUCCCCUCCUGGCAGGUGCCUCCCCCCUCCCCGGUUCUCUUUCACACACCCCGGAAGAGCAGGACGAGGCCCGAGCCUAACAUGGGAGGAAAGCCUGCUUCCAUCUCUGCCCCUGGGCUGGGCACUGUGCAGUCACCAGGAAGCCCCUCUGGAAUAACCACCAUCUCUACGGCCGCUGGUUAUUCAGCAUCUGCCACGUGCCAGAGCUGGUAUGCGGUGGAGCUGGAUUCCCACGAGACCCUAGGUUCUCCCUCCCCUUGAGGUCUCAGGCUCAGUUAAGGAAGUCAAGAGGGAAUCAUGGGAGGGAGUAGACGGAGGUGUUGCUGAGAAAGUCCCAAACAGGGUGGGCCCCAAAAGGUGAGGCCCAGCAGGGAGGAGAUGGGAGGAGCCGAGCCAGGCUCUGCCUACGCUGUGGGGCCCAUUUCACGGGAGGCAGGAAGGCCCAGCAGGCAGAGGACCAAGGCUGGGUCUGUGGGGGGAUGAACGCAGCCCCUCAGGCCCGAGGAGGGGCUGUGCUAAGACAGGCCGAGCCGCCCCAUGAGAUCUCAGCCCAAACCCGCUUGUUUCUCAGCGCUGGGGCCCGCUCCCCUGGGGCCCACGGAGAAGCCUGGCUCUGCCUGGCACAGGACUAACGGGAGUCUCAUCACUCAGAGUGCCUCUUCCCCCCUUCAUCCCUCCCCCCCCACCCCCAGGACUGAUGCGGAACCAGAGAACCUCAGGGGGGCUGGGACCUCCCUGAUGGAGCCAGACGGAGAGCAGGGGCUUGGGGUCAGGUGGAGGUGGGCUGGACCUCGCCUCCGUGUGACCUUGGGAGAGCUGGUCUCCCAGGCUCAGUUCCCUCGCCUGUCAAGUGAGGAUGAUGAUAUAGCCUUCAUAUGGUUGUUGUGACACGGUGCUUAGCACACAGUAGGUUUUCAAUGAAUGCACUGAGGCAUGCAGAGAGCAGAUACAACUUAUCAAAGUGUGCCUGGUUUUUGGAAACCACAAUAAAUUUGGGAAGAAUGAAGGCUCCAUUCUCCUGGCAAGGUGUGGGCAGCCAGCAGGGAGGGUCCUAGGAACCUAAGGGUCAGUGGGGUCCCGACACACCCAGGGUACAGAGGUGAGGGGGUAUCAGGACCCCACAAGCCCAUCAGCUGCACAGAAGGUGGCUGGCCCGGCGGUAACACUGAGACAGUAGCUUUGCUGAGGCAAGGUGACCCUCUCCCCAGAACGCCUUCGGGGUGCCAAAACCCCAACCCCGCAGCCAGUGUUGCCUUCCCCGGCCUUGUCCAGAGCCAGGCUGAAAGCAGGUGAUGCCUGAGGACAUGCAGCUAGCCAUGUCCUGAGAGAAGAUGCUGCUCUCAGGCCAGUGUCCAGGAAUGUGGCGUUUGCCUGUGCAGUGGGGGUCCACGCCAACAUGCCAAAUCUCCCAGGGUGUUGACACAGUGGGGGUAAGCCCCUGGUGUCAGUGAGUCACCCGGCCCAGGCGGGUGGGGAUGUGCGGACGGCAGC
ensembl:lincRNA